GACGAACGCUGGCGGCGUGCUUAACACAUGCAAGUCGAACGAGUGGCGAACGGGUGAGUAACACGUGGGUGACCUGCCCUGCACUUCGGGAUAAGCCUGGGAAACUGGGUCUAAUACCGGAUAGUGUGGGAUGGGCCCGCGGCCUAUCAGCUUGUUGGUGGGGUAAUGGCUACCAAGGCGCGACGGGUAGCCGGCCUGAGAGGGUGGACGGCCACAUUGGGACUGAGACACGGCCCAGACUCCUACGGGAGGCAGCAGUGGGGAAUCUUCCGCAAUGGACGAAAGUCUGACGGAGCAACGCCGCGUGAGUGAUGACGGCCUUCGGGUUGUAAAGCUCUGUUAAUCGGGACGCGGUACCGGAAUAGAAAGCCACGGCUAACUACGUGCCAGCAGCCGCGGUAAUAC
rnacentral:rRNA from 1 species